AGGUGGAUAAUUACUGUACCUUCCUCAUGGAAAAAGUUUUAUUUAAAGUGUUAUUUCUCAUUGAAUACUAUCAAAAAGGAAAAAAAAAUGACCUAAACUUUUGAGAUAGAUUUGGCUCUAGUGUAAAUUUUGAUACCACCAUUGCCGCCUUCCCCUCAAAAAAGGUGAGAACUGACUAAACUACUGGUACUUAGACCAUGUGGAGAAGGAACUGAAAAUGGAAACAGAAACACGUCUGUACAGAGCAGAGUGUCAGAUAAUAGCUCAUUUUAGUAGAGGGCAAUAAAUGCCACAUGAGAUGAUCACCUCAGCAGAAAACUGGGAUGUGGAGACGCUGGUAGCGGGGCCAGGAAGGCUCCGGACGGAGCAGGUUUUCUGGACCACAGACACACUGCCCCGGCGCCCUCCGCAGGCCGCUCCUCCCCAGGCCCAUGACAGUGCCCCGCUGGUUUCUGCCGCGCUGCCGGACUGGAGCUCAGACGGCCUUCGCCAGCCCCCCCAACCCACGCAGAUCCCUGCUGACCUGGGCAACUCCCCACCCUCGCUGAAGGUUCGAGGACCACCCCGCUUUCCCGAGAGGAGCCGGGCGGCGGGUACUUAUCUCCGACCUCCGGCUAGUGGGAAAGGCCGCGCGACCGCCCGUCCUCCAACUACAGGGACCGCACGGUACGCGCCAAGCACAGCCCCAAAAUGGACUCGCGGCUCCGGCUAGCUCCGCCCCCUUCCCUCUCCCGCUU
rnacentral:lncRNA from 1 species